CCUACGGGUGGCAGCAGUGAGGAAUAUUGGUCAAUGGGCGUGAGCCUGAACCAGCCAAGUCGCGUGAGGGAUGAAUGUUCUAUGGAUCGUAAACCUCUUUUAUAAAGGAAUAAAGUGAGGGACGUGUCCCGUUUUGUAUGUACCUUAUGAAUAAGGAUCGGCUAACUCCGUGCCAGCAGCCGCGGUAAUACGGAGGAUCCGAGCGUUAUCCGGAUUUAUUGGGUUUAAAGGGUGCGUAGGUGGCUUUUUAAGUCAGCUGUGAAAGUUGGUGGCUCAACCGUAGAAUUGCAGUUGAUACUGGGAGGCUUGAGUAUGGUUGAGGCAGGCGGAAUGCGUGGUGUAGCGGUGAAAUGCUUAGAUAUCACGAAGAACUCCGAUUGCGAAGGCAGCCUGCUAAGCCAUGACUGACACUGAUGCACGAAAGCGUGGGGAUCAAACAGGAUUAGAUACCCGUGUAGUC
rnacentral:rRNA from 1 species